rnacentral:sRNA from 1 species
ACUUCCAGGGCCGGGCUUCUCCUCACACCAGCCAGACAGCCUACCCUCCGCCCAGGGGAAGCGGCUGCCUCCGCCAGGCCGCUUCCAGGAAGCCCCGGGCCAGGCCCCAGCAUUGUUCAGGCCCUGGGGCCAGCACCCCAGCCAGCCGAACACCAUGAAGUCCAGCGGCCCUGUGGAGAGGCUGCUCAGAGCCCUGGGGAGGAGGGACAGCAGCCGGGCCACAAGCAGGCCUAGGAAAGCUGAGCCUCAUAGCUUCCGGGAGAAGGUUUUCCGGAAGAAACCUCCAGUCUGUGCAGUAUGUAAGGUGACCAUCGAUGGGACAGGCGUUUCGUGCAGAGUCUGCAAGGUGGCGACGCACAGAAAAUGUGAAGCAAAGGUGACUUCAGCCUGUCAGGCCUUGCCUCCCGUGGAGUUGGUGAGUGCGCUCUGGGAUGGGGUGGGGAGGGCAAGGAACCUGGCCAUGGUGUCCAGAGGUCUGGUGGCUCCAGAGAGGGCCCCCAGGAGAUGACCUUGAACGGAGUGCUGUGGGUAUUGCUCAUCCUACGAGGAAAGAAAAAACUGUCUGAGUCCUCUGCU